GCCCCCAUAGUUCAAUGGAUAGAACAAACCCCUCCUAAGGGUUAGAUUCCCGUUCGAAUCGGGAUGGGGGUACCA
rnacentral:tRNA from 1 species